rnacentral:rRNA from 1 species
AAUAAGCGGAGGAAAAGAAACCAACAGGGAUUGCCUUAGUAGCGGCGAGUGAAGCGGCAAAAGCUCAAAUUUGAAAUCUGGCGCCUUCGGUGUCCGAGUUGUAAUUUGAAGAUUGUAACCUUGGGGUUGGCUCUUGUCUAUGUUUCUUGGAACAGGACGUCACAGAGGGUGAGAAUCCCGUGCGAUGAGAUGCCCAAUUCUAUGUAAGGUGCUUUCGAAGAGUCGAGUUGUUUGGGAAUGCAGCUCUAAGUGGGUGGUAAAUUCCAUCUAAAGCUAAAUAUUGGCGAGAGACCGAUAGCGAACAAGUACAGUGAUGGAAAGAUGAAAAGAACUUUGAAAAGAGAGUGAAAAAGUACGUGAAAUUGUUGAAAGGGAAGGGUUUGAGAUCAGACUCGAUAUUUUGUGAGCCUUGCCUUCGUGGCGGGGUGACCCGCAGCUUAUCGGGCCAGCAUCGGUUUGGGCGGUAGGAUAAUGGCGUAGGAAUGUGACUUUACUUCGGUGAAGUGUUAUAGCCUGCGUUGAUGCUGCCUGCCUAGACCGAGGACUGCGAUUUUAUCAAGGAUGCUGGCAUAAUGAUCCCAAACCGCCCGUCUUGAAA